rnacentral:rRNA from 1 species
AACGGUGGUAAUGCCGGAUGCUCCAGUUGAUCGCAUGGUCUUCUGGGAAAGCUUUCGCGGUAUGGGAUGGGGUCGCGUCCUAUCAGCUUGACGGCGGGGUAACGGCCCACCGUGGCUUCGACGGGUAGCCGGCCUGAGAGGGCGACCGGCCACAUUGGGACUGAGAUACGGCCCAGACUCCUACGGGAGGCAGCAGUGGGGAAUAUUGCACAAUGGGCGCAAGCCUGAUGCAGCGACGCCGCGUGAGGGAUGGAGGCCUUCGGGUUGUAAACCUCUUUUAUCGGGGAGCAAGCGAGAGUGAGUUUACCCGUUGAAUAAGCACCGGCUAACUACGUGCCAGCAGCCGCGGUAAUACGUAGGGUGCAAGCGUUAUCCGGAAUUAUUGGGCGUAAAGGGCUCGUAGGCGGUUCGUCGCGUCCGGUGUGAAAGUCCAUCGCUUAACGGUGGAUCCGCGCCGGGUACGGGCGGGCUUGAGUGCGGUAGGGGAGACUGGAAUUCCCGGUGUAACGGUGGAAUGUGUAGAU